GGUCCCGUAGUGUAGCGGUUAACACGCCUGCCUGUCACGCAGGAGAUCGCGGGUUCGAGUCCCGUCGGGACCGCCA
rnacentral:tRNA from 2 species